GACAGACCAGCAGCUUCUCCCAUAAGUGUCCCUUUCCCAAAAUGUGGGUGUCUUAGCAGGUGCCCCGAGUGUGCACGGGUUCCGCACCCCGGCUGAACUGGGGUUGGGUAGGAAGACAGCUUCGGAAGGCCCAUUGAGGAGAAGGCCUGGCCUUCCUCCCACCGCCUGCUGUGUUUCAGGAGCCGGGCCACAAACCCAUUGUCCCCUCCCGCCAUCCCCAAGCAGCAGGUUGUACCCCUAGGCAUUGAUCAUGCCUACUACUCGUGUGUGUGUGUGUGUGUGUGUGUGUGUGUGUGUGUGUGUGUGUGUGUAAUGCCUUGACUGCCACCAGGCCAAGGUGGAGGGGAAAAUGAGAGGUGACCCUUUGGGGCAGAGAGAAGGGGACCCCUCUAACGCACUCUGCUCGUCGACCACUAGCGGCUGCCGGCAAGCACGGGCCAGCAACGCUCACACUCAUCCUGCUACAAGCUGGCCCCACUCUCCAGCCCUCUCUGGAGCUUUCCCGCCUUCCCAAACUGGAACCCACCCCACUGGGACGUCCACCCAGUCUCCCUGCCCCAGGCCCUGGCAGCCCCCACUCGGCUCCCUCUCUCGAGUUUGGUGCCUAGAUCUAGGACCUCCUUGUCAGUGGGAUGGGGGGAGUUAUCAUCACACUUGAUGUGGUCCUCUCAACCUUGUGGUGCCCUCUCGAGUUUCCCCUCUUGUAGGCUCAAUAGUGUUUGUGUAGGUACCCUGUAGUAACUGCUUCUCCCGUUGCUGGGACAACGCGGCAGGACGAAAGCAGCUUAAGGGAGAAGGGUUUGUUUGGGCUCCCAGUCUGAAGGCAGAGUCCCUCACAGCAACGGAAGACCGUGGCAGCGGAGGGCCAGGCUGCUGGUCACGUGACGUUCACAAUCAGGAAGCAGACAGAGGCACACCCAGCAGUGUUUCCAUGGCGACAGUAAAUCCUGAGGCUGAUGGACGAGAACCACACACCCUGCUCUCUGUCACAGGGAAUGGAGACCAGGACCCGUGAACUUCUGGAUACACCAGGCUAGCUGACUUGUGAACUUCUGGAUACUCCAGGCUAGCCGACUUGUGAACCUCUGGAUACCCCAGGCUAGCCGACUUGUGAACCUCUGGAUACUCCAGGCUAGCCGACUUGUGAACCUCUGGAUACUCCAGGCUAGCCGACUUGUGAACCUCUGGAUACUCCAGUCUCGUCCUAGGAGCCCUGUAGAGACAUGUGCUGUCAUGUCUUGGCUUUAUGUGAGAAAUAGCGACAGAAACUCAGGCCUCCACACUCACAAUUCUCUGACUCACUGCGCCUUCUCCCUGGCCCUAUUUUGUGAUUUUCAACCACAAAAAAAAGAAGAAUUUAUUUAUUACUUGCAAGUAUCAGUCAACUAACAAGUACAGCAGGGUAAUUUAAUGUAAAAUUACUUGCAGUUUGAAGUCAUUUCCACAGGACACCAGGAGAGGAGCUGAGUUCACCAACAAGCCAAGUUUCUGUUCCCCUGGGGGCCGUGUCUCACAGUUGGACACAUUAAAGGGACUCUUGAUUUUC